GACGAACGCUGGCGGCGUGCUUAACACAUGCAAGUCGAACGGAAAGGCCCUGCUUUUGUGGGGUGCUCGAGUGGCGAACGGGUGAGUAACACGUGAGUAACCUGCCCUUGACUUUGGGAUAACUUCAGGAAACUGGGGCUAAUACCGGAUAGGAGCUCCUGCUGCAUGGUGGGGGUUGGAAAGUUUCGGCGGUUGGGGAUGGACUCGCGGCUUAUCAGCUUGUUGGUGGGGUAGUGGCUUACCAAGGCUUUGACGGGUAGCCGGCCUGAGAGGGUGACCGGCCACAUUGGGACUGAGAUACGGCCCAGACUCCUACGGGAGGCAGCAGUGGGGAAUAUUGCACAAUGGGCGGAAGCCUGAUGCAGCAACGCCGCGUGCGGGAUGACGGCCUUCGGGUGGUAAACCGCUUUCGCCUGUGACGAAGCGUGAGUGACGGUAAUGGGUAAAGAAGCACCGGCUAACUAC
rnacentral:rRNA from 1 species